GUGUGUAUACCUGCAGAGUUGUAACAUGCGGGCAUUUCUCCCCCCACCCCGCCAUUCUGGCUUCUUAACUUGCACCCUAACAGCUCGACAGAACCUUGGCGUCCACAAAAAGGAUUUGAGGUGGGACAUGGAAGAACAGGGACCCCACCUGGUUUGUCCACCCGGCCCACACCUGCAUUCCUCACCCAACCUACCACUUCAGAGCCGGGAAAAGACCUCAGAGAACAUCCGCUCCGACUCCACCGAGGCUCAGACAGGACAAGAAGAGUGUGCUGGACACUGGGAAAUGUGGUCCAGGAGCAGUCACAGUCCCUACAGACCUCCCACAAAUUACCAUAAUGCAAAGAGUGCUCAGCCCCUGCCGACAUGAGCAAUGGGCAGCGCGUCCAGCUGGGUUCCUGCCCCACGAGAAGCACACAGCCUGGUUUGGUAGGUGGGGCUCCAUCAGGGCUGUUUGGAUACCUGGGUGGAGCCCGCAGACCAUCCCCCACCUUGUGUGGUUAGGGCUUUGCUAGGAAGGCCCAACUGUGCGCCAUGACCUUGGAACUCGAUGUGAGAUCCCUGGACCGGCAGCAGCACCUGGAAGCUUGUUGGAAAUGCUGAUCUCAGGUGGGACUCCAGAAUUCCCGCAUCUGCACCUGCACUCCCAAAAUACCUCCCCACCAGGUGAUCCGAGGCCAUGGGGCGGUCUGAAGGGCACUGUGCUGGGGCGUCCCACCACUAGAGAUCCAGUCCGGUAAUCUGAAGAUGUAAGUGCCCCCAGGAGGAGUGACGGAGUGACACAAAUGACACAAGGGGAGGGGACUUGUCAGGUGUCCACUCCUGACUACAAGUUCCCAGGGCAGAAGGCAAUGCCCCCACAGGGACUUUUCUAGACACUCCGAGUGCACCUGAAUUGCAUUUUGAGUGAUGCUACCUGCUAAGCAGGAAGAGCCCUCCGGAGCCUCGGAAAGCAGAGUGGAAGUGGUGGUGCCCAGGACGCAUGGGCUCUGAUGGGAAGGGGGAGGUGGGCCUGAGCAUGGGCCUUCUUCUCCCCAGGUCAGAGGGGCCUGGAUGCCCCUGGAGGGAACACUGAGGUCACCUCUGGCCAAAUCUUCCUGUUCUGCCAGUACCCAGCCCUGUUCAGUGACAUCAAGCUUUUGGGUCCCUGUCCUGGGGCCCUCCACGCUGGCCGGGCUGUGUAGAGACGCCCUUCUCUCUACUUUAUUGGGUCCAGAUUGUUGUGUGGCUUCUCCCCUCCUCUGCAGCCUGGGGUCUGAAAACAGCGACGCCAACAGACAGACAGAUUUCCAAAAGAAAGGUCCGGCUCAGCCAAGGACAAAGGGGCCUUGCAGAGGCUCCUGGGGGUCAGAAAGCUGAGAGUCUACCGGGCAGGUGCCUUCUGCACCCACAGGCACAAGCUACAACAGCUUUCCAAGAAGCGCAUCCACAUCAUCCCCAGGUCCAGAUGCCCACAUCGCCCUGCAGGGACCGAGACCACACUCGGGCUGCUUGGACAGGAUGUAGCGGGUCACUGUUCUGGAGCUGGCCCCUCUGUAGCCUGUGACAAUCAGCUUGAGUCUCUGCCAAGUCUCCGCCUUCUGUUCUUCUUGCCCACCUUGAAGCAGAGUUGACUUUUUGGGUUUUUCCAGCAGACAAAGCUCACUCAAUCUGACACUGUGGAGGUUGUUAAUUUAACAACCAACCCAUCCUCAUGUUGAGAAACCAGCUCCAAAUGCUCACCGGGCUGUCAGGGAUGGGGAGCCUCAUGGGUGAAAGAAGGUUGUGAUGGCAUAAUUUAAACCAAAAGAGGCAUUUGCGGUUGCCCGUGUUGCCCCAGGCCUGCUGGCCUCCUGCUGUGAACGUUUUGGGCAAUACCAUCUCUGCCAGUGACCCCCAAUUGUCCACUUGUCUCCAGCAAGAUCGAACCAUGUAAGUGCCAUUUCUGACAACUUGGGUGAACGUUGGUUUCAAAUCAUCAACUCUGCAUUCAAGUGCCCUGCUACAAUUCUGGCUCACUCUGCGGGAAUAACUGCCUGCCUGGGCACGUUGCCGUUGCUGCCUCCCAAACGGCAGUUUCUGGGGUCCCAGGUCAUCCAGGUUGGAUGUGGCUUGGGAGAGACCUGUAGCACCAGGUUGGAGGGAGGUCUCACCUCUCCUUUCUGAGCUGUGGACUGCAGCUUCAGGACCCUAUGGAUGAGGCCGAAUGUCAUGAAGAUAAUGGAAUUUGGAGUCUCAGCAAAGCCAAGCCACAUGCCAGAGAUUCACCACCUGGGGCCCAGGAUCAGAAGUGUGCCCUUAGGAGGCCAAACAUCCACCUGUCUACCAACUAGACAUUUGGUCUCAGACAGCAAGAAAGGCUGCGUUUAUGUCAUUAGGGGGAACACCACGGUCUUCGGCAUGAGAGAGGUGUAAUUCUCAAGUUCCUCAGAGCUUGGCUUCCCCCAUGAGAGGAAACAAUUUGCCAGGUUGAAGAACACACGCUUUGAGGGUUCUCAGAGGCUGACACCUGUUGUGAAUCUUGGAAACUCAAGCCCCAGUGCAAACGGCCUUGAAGGAGGUCGAGCAUCAUGGUUCCAACAAGUGACUCACUUUGAUAACCCGAUGUGUAAGCAGAAUCGCAAUGCAUCCGUCCUUCCCUAAUCAUCACGUGGCUGUCAUCUGGUCAAUGAACUGAGGCCCGAAGGCUUGAGUCAAACUGGUUUUCAAGGCUGUGCUCAUGGGAUUUAUAUGUUUCUUGAGCCCUGUUGGAGGCUCUUGGCAGGUCUGAACAUUAAACAUUUCUUUUCUUCCUUUUGC
rnacentral:antisense_RNA from 1 species